CCCUGGUGGCCCAAAUAGUAAAGUAUCUGCCUGCAAUGCAGAAGACCUGGGUUCGAUCCCUGGGUCAGGAA
rnacentral:tRNA from 1 species